rnacentral:rRNA from 1 species
AGGACACGGCUGGCGGCGUGGAUUAGGCAUGCAAGUCGAACGGUAGGAUACCUUCGGGUAUCUGAGAGUGGCGAACGGGUGAGUAACACGUAGGUGAUCUACCCUCAAGAUUGGGACAACCCAGGGAAACUUGGGCUAAUACCGGAUGAAAGCAGCAGUGAUGUUGUUUGAAAGGUGGCGUAAGCUGCCGUUUGGGGAUGAGCCUGCGCUCUAUUAGUUAGUUGGCGGGGUAAAGGCCCACCAAGGCGAUGAUAGAUAGGCGGCCUUAACGGGUGGUCGCCCACACUGGGAUUGAGAUACGGCCCAGACUCCUACGGGAGGCAGCAGUCGAGAAUAGUCUACAAUGGCCGAAAGGCUGAUAGUGCGACGCCGCGUGAACGAAGAAGCCCUUCGGGGUGUAAAGUUCUUUUAUAUGUGAGCAGUGCUUUCUAUGUGAACAGCAUGGGGAGAGAGAUAUUAGCAUAUGAAUAAGCAACGGCUAACUCCGUG